AGUGAACGCUGGCGGUAGGCCUAACACAUGCAAGUCGAACGGCAGCACAGUAAGAGCUUGCUCUUACGGGUGGCGAGUGGCGGACGGGUGAGGAAUACAUCGGAAUCUACUUUUUCGUGGGGGAUAACGUAGGGAAACUUACGCUAAUACCGCAUACGACCUACGGGUGAAAGCAGGGGAUCUUCGGACCUUGCGCGAUUGAAUGAGCCGAUGUCGGAUUAGCUAGUUGGCGUGGUAAAGGCCCACCAAGGCGACGAUCCGUAGCUGGUCUGAGAGGAUGAUCAGCCACACUGGAACUGAGACACGGUCCAGACUCCUACGGGAGGCAGCAGUGGGGAAUAUUGGACAAUGGGCGCAAGCCUGAUCCAGCCAUACCGCGUGGGUGAAGAAGGCCUCCGGGUUGUAAAGCCCUUUUGUUGGGAAAGAAAAGCAGCAGGUUAAUACCCCGCUGUUCUGACGGUACCCAAAGAAUAAGCACCGGCUAACUUCGUG
rnacentral:rRNA from 1 species